rnacentral:rRNA from 1 species
GGUCAAGUUAUUAAGGGUGCAGGGCGGAUGCCUUGGCACUAGGAGCCGAUGAAGGACGUGAUAAGCUGCGAUAAGCUUCGGGGAGUUGCACGUAAACUUUGAUCCGAAGAUUUCCGAAUGAGGAAACUCACUUAGAGUAAUGUCUAAGUAUCAUUAAGUGAAUACAUAGCUUAAUGAGGGGAACUCAGGGAACUGAAACAUCUAAGUACCUGAAGGAAGAGAAAGAAAUUCGAUUCCGUAAGUAGCGGCGAGCGAACGCGGAUUAGCCCAAACCAAUAAAGUUUUCUUUAUUGGGGUUGCGGACAUAUCAUAACGAAGAGGUAUCGUAAUUGAAGAGGUUUGGAAAGACCCACCA